rnacentral:rRNA from 1 species
UACGGGGGGGGCAAGCGUUGUUCGGAAUUACUGGGCGUAAAGGGUUCGUAGGUGGUCAACUAAGUCGGACGUGAAAUCCCUCAGCUUAACUGGGGAACUGCGUCUGAUACUGGUUGACUUGAGUGCAGGAGAGGAACGCGGAAUUCCAGGUGUAGCGGUGAAAUGCGUAGAUAUCUGGAGGAACACCGGUGGCGAAGGCGGCGUUCUGGACUGUAACUGACACUGAGGAACGAAAGCCAGGGGAGCAAACGGG